GCUGGGUGUGGUGGCUCACACCUGUAAUCCCAGCUCUUUGGGAGGCCGAGGCAGGCGGAUCACUUGAGGUCAGGACUUUGAGACCAGCCUGGCCAACAUGGUGAAACCCUGUCUCUA
rnacentral:SRP_RNA from 1 species